UGAGUUAAAAGGGGUCUAGGAAAUGUUUAUCGGACUUCAAAUAUUGUGGAAACUGAACUUUGCAAUCCUCAACUCAAGAACUUUCUCGGCUAAGCUCAGACUCAGGAACAGCUCCAGAAGUAUUGCUAAUGAGUGCAAGGGAUGCUGUUCUCACAGGCUGUCUACUUCCAAAGGAGAUGGAGGGGGUGGGGAAGAAGCCACGGCCUCUCAUCUUUCUCAGGAAAACAAUCCAUUGAUUUUGGCCUAAGUCAAAUCAACAUAAUUAUGUCUCAAAAUGUUCUUGAAAACGCUUUGUAGCUACUCAGGAAAGAGAACAAAUGCCCCUUUGUUCCAAUUUUGGAAUGCAAGCUGAGUGCUUAGCCUCCUCUGCACACUGUACAGGGCAAACACAGGAAGCUUCCAUUGGAUUUUCCACUUAAAUGGUUUGGCAUAAACUCGCAUUAGGCAGGCUCCCGGACAGAAACCUGGAGCACUGUGCUUUUGGCCAACUACAGCCCAGAAGUCUGGAGCCAUAACCUUCAACCCCACUGCACUGCAGAGCGCUGUUGUGAGAAGAAUGGGAAAACACAGGGCCGCUGCCAUGUUGUCUACCACAUGCUUAAUUACGAAGUCCUCAUUUUGGUUCUGCAAUUAGGAAAAGCAAAACAUCCCCGACAAGAGGAACUAUGACAAAAGGUCAGUCCUGAGAAGUGAUUGAUGCAUUCCCAUAAGGAGAAGACUCUCAUUCCAAGCCUGGCUGUGGAUAAACACACUUGUCUCCCUCCCCAUGGUGGAAACACAGCUUUCUGCAGUCAGUGAAGUGGCACAACCUGGCCCAGGGCUCCCCUGGGGCUGUGGGGAAGGCAAACAGACGCCUGUGUGGCAGCUGCUGAGCAGAAGACAAGCCUCCAGGCAGGGCUGCAGCCAUUACGCUCCCAUUAGGAAGCUCAUCACUUGCUGUCAGAGUGUUUGGAACCAAUGACAGCUGUCAACUCUGCAAAUUCCUCAGCCAGAUCAAGAGGAGGAAGAACUAUAACCAAGAGAAACCACCUAGUGCCACUCUCUCUCUUCUGUGCCUGAGUUCCUGGUACUGACAAUGCCAAAGCAGGUAUUCCAGGCCACACAGUGAGGAAAAUGACUCUCUCCCUCCACGAUGCCUCUCCUCAACUGUAAAUCCAUAGUGACUAUAGUUUUCUAAUUUUGAACUCCAGAGUGCCAGCACAACCAAACUCAGUGACUGUAGAAGUUAAACAGGCUACAAGCUACCCCACAGAGUGCUAAAACUCUAUACAGAGAUCCUGUAUUCAGAAAUGAAAAGGAAGGUAAAGGGAGGAAUGCCUGAUCUUUCCUCCCAAAAAAUUUAGCUAAUGAAAUAAUGUGGCCUGACAGUCUCCUUUUGGCUCUUGUAGACAUCCUAUCCAGCCAGCAUGAUCUAAAUAAUUCAACAAACAUUAGGCACAUCCUAUGGUGAUUAGGCACAUUCUAUGGUGCGGCUUUAAAAGGUUGAUGCAAAACAGAAUUAAAUGAUAAAUGUAAGAUAAAUAUUUUAAUGCAGAAAUUUUGAAAUCCAUGCACAAUUUUUUCAGAAUAUUCAUUUCCUAUAAACUUUUAGAAAAUUUAUUUAUUUGAGAAGCAGAGUUACAGAUAGAAGGAGACACAAAGAGAAAGGUCUUCCAUCUGCUGGUUCACUCCCCAAAUGGCUGCAAUAGCCAGAGCUGGAAACCAGGAGCCAGGAGCUUCUUCUGAGUCUCCCAUGUGGGAGCAGGGGCCCAAGCAUCUGGGCCAUCUUCCACUGCUUUCCCAGGUCAUAAGCAUAGAACUACAUCGGAUGAGGAGCAGCCAGGACACAAACUGGUGCCCAUAUGGGAUGCUGGCACCACAGGCAGAGGCUUAGACUACUACACCACAGUACCAGUCCCUCUACAAACUUUUUGAAGACACUUCAUAUGCCUGGGUUUCUAUUUUUGUUUGCGCUGAAAUAAACAUAUCUUUUAAUUCCAUUCCCAUGAACUUUAUCAUGUUUCUCAUACAUGGUAAUCAAAUCUGAAUGAAAUAAAGAUACUUCCUCCACCAGUCAGCGUUCUUGGUUGCAAACAACAGACUUAAACUUCAAAGUGGUUUAUCAGAAGAAUACUACGUAGUUUGCAACUGCAAUGUGAUAGGCAAAGCCAGCCUCAGAAAAUGGACAGGCUCCAGACCCAAAGGCAAUAUUACAGCACAGGAGUGGUCUAGAUGGGACAAAAUUGACAUCACUGUUGCACGUUACAGGCCACUACUAACACAGAGCAAGCAUUCCCACUGGAGGAUGGCUCUUGCCACCACUAACACCAAAAGAAAUUCUCAAAGCCACUAGAUAUGGGUGUCAAUGCUCUAGAUUAAGAUUCCAGGUAGCAUCGUGCCAUCUGAUGAUGUAAGCCCUGGCCCAUGCCUUAUUGCUGGGAGCUAAAGAGGAUUUUUUUUCUAGGCUUUUGUGUCCUCAAUAGUCAAAAACAGGGUUUCCCACCAUAACUUACAUGACAAUGAAUUCUACUAGAGAAAAGGUGUUAAGAUGUUAAGACAGUAAAAGAAAAAACAGGAAAAUGUCUAUCAGGAGUUUUCCUAUGAAGCAGUAGUUGUAAAUGGAAACCAGAUUAUGUAUAGAUAUACAUAAAUAUAAAACCUGGGACUGGCGUUGUGGUGUAGCAACACUGGCAUCCCAUAUGGGUGCCGGUUUGUGUCCCUGCUGCUCCACUUCUGAUCCAGCUCCCUGCUGAUGGCCUGGUAAAAGCAGUGGAAGAUGGCCCCUGCCAUCCAUAUACAAGACCUGGAUGAAGCUCUUGGGUCCUGACUUCAGCCUGGCCUAGCACUGUCCAUUGCAGACAACUGGGGAGUGAAUGAGUGGAUGGAAGAUCUCUCUCUCCCUCUGAAAUUUUGAUUUUCAAAAUAAAUAUAUGAAUCUUUAAAAGCACAAAUAAAUAUAAAACCAACAAGUUAGGACAGAUGCUAUCAGGGAGGGGCUGGUAGUAGAUCUUUCCACCCCAAGAAAGGAAAUACUACUCUGGCUAAGGGUUAACGAAAAUCACAUUCAAAGAACUUUCAGCUGAAUCUUGAAUGAUAGAUGGAAUUUCUAAAGGUUGUAAAAGAUAAUCCAGGAAACAUCUCCUAUAAUGUGGGAAGACCCUCCCAAAUGCAAAAUGAAACUUCAUUGACUAGAGGAUUGGGAGAUUGGAUAGAUGGUUGUGAGAUGCUUUGAGCACUUCUUCUGCUAACUGUGUUUCCCAGUGAAUCAAGAGUUCUAAAGCAGAAUGAAUUCACAAGGCACUCAGAGAAAGUGAGAAGCAUCACCUUAUUUUUCAGUAUUCUCCAGGGCAACAAUAGAACAGGACACGUUACACCUCAUCAGGCUCAUCCUAACUUCAUUCAUAUCAUGAAUAAGAAAUCAGCCUCAUGCUAAUCCCUAGCCUUGAUGCUUUCUAACACGUGUUGUAAACUUGCUUCAGCACCAAAAAGGAUGUGCAGGCCAUAAAUACAGAUAGAACCACAUGCGGAAUGUUGACUUCUAAUUGAGUGUAGAAUAACUGCCUACAAUUAAUCAAACAACUAAAUUUAAUGAAUCAAUCAUCUCAUAUGGACUUAAGGAAGAUCUAUUAUAGAUUUUUUAUGUGAGGGAAGGAAAUACUGUCCAUAAUGUGCCUAGAUACCUAAAGUGACCACCAAUACUAAAAUCUAAAUUGACUUGCUUUUAUCAUAUUUUCAUACAAAAUUACUGCUGGAAUUUUCCAUAUGAAAAAAGAGAUAAAUAUACAAAUUUGAAAGUAGAAUUUUUUUUCCAUAGAAACAUAGACAUUCUAACAUCCUCGUCUAAAAGAACUAAAUGGCAAGCAGUCUGGAACAGUAGAUACACAAAGAUCAGUAGAGAGGUCUAAAAUGAGGAUCAGAGCAUCUAUGACUCAAGGGAAUUGUGGGAAUUAUCUUCAAAUAUUUGAAGGACUACAAGGGAAAAUUGGCAAAAAUUAAAGUAAUCCUGUGGAUUCAUCUCCAGAGAAAAGUGGAGCUAGUAAGAUUGUUCACUCAGAAGUUGGAUAACAACCAGGUGUUACAACAGUGAUUGCUGAAGUCUCACAUUUCUAAGAUGAAAUGGGCAGCUGGGAUGACUAAAUAUUGAUUCAUCUAAAUCUCCUUGAGGUCAAUAUCAGAACAUUUAUAUAAAUAAUUUUGGAAAAAUGAAUGUUAUUGACUCAGCAAAUGAACAAUUUCUGCAUAAAGAUUAGAUUAAGAGAGAGUAAGUGCUUGGUUUCUUUAACUUUGAGUAAGUGAUUCUCACCAAAGUCUCACCACAGCUUAAAAGAGUCUAUGCUAUUGGCCAUCUGAUUACCCCUUGAUGUCAGAAUAAAGACAUUUCUGUGCAUAAUUUCUGAAAAAAUAAAUUACUUCUUAAAUAAGCAAUUCUUCCAUAAAGGUGAAUUCAAGGUCUUGUGUUCUCUUGUCAAGCCCUGAAUGGCAUUAACUGCCCUCACCUUUAGGCUUUCUGAUUAUCUCUUCUCUUCAUUUUCAAUUUUAAAAAGUUUAUAUAUUUGCAAGGCACACAGAAAGAGACAAAGUCAGACAAACAAGGAGAAAUUUUCCAUCUGCUGGUUCACUCCUGGCCUCCAGUAUGGAGCCAGGAGCCUAGAACUCCAUCAGGUUACCCAUAUGCAUAGUCAGGAUCCAUUCCCAUUGCUUCCCAGGCUGGGUAUUAGCAGGAAGUUAGAAUCAGAAGCAGAGCCAGGACUCGAACCCAGACACUCUGGUAUUGGAUGCAGGUGUUAUAUGUGGGGUCUUAACCCCUAGGCCUAACUCUUGCCCCUCUCUGGACUUCUGUUCUACCACCUUCUCUCGGUCUCUCUGCCAUGAACAUACUGGCUGCUUCAGAUAUGCCUGCAAGAUGACUGUAAAAUAUAUUUGUGCUACAUUGCACAUCAACAAAAAUUAUCAUGCAGGUGAAAAGAAGAAAGAAAAAAACUAUUAAACACAAGCAGAAAAACUAACAUGAUAUUUAAUGGGAAAAGUAUAACCUUAAAUUAGAAAACAGAGGUGUUGAAAGUUAAAGGUCUAAAUGUCUAUUUUAAGAAAUAAGGAGAUGGAAAGAAAGAAGGAGAGGGAGAUAUCGAGAUGGUCCAUCCAUUGGUUCACUCCCCAAUUGGCUGCAAUGGCCAGGGUUGGGGUAAGUGGAUGCUAAAAACCCAGAACUCCCUCCAGGUCCCCCUCAUGGGUGGCAGCACCCCAAGCACUAGGACCAUCUUCUUCUGCUUUCCCAGGCACAUUAGCAGUGUGUUGGAUCAGAAGCGAAGCAGCAAGGACUCGAACUGUAUUCCAUAGGGGAUGCCAGCAUCACAGGCAAUGGCUUAACCUUCUUUGCCAAAAUGCCAGCCCCAGAACUCAAUAUUAAAGAGAUUCCCUCAACCUUUUGCAGUCAAUUUCCAUACUCAAAUACCCACCCAAGAAAUCAGCGAUCUGCUUUUUAUCAAGAUAACUUUUUUUCUAAAAUUUUGUAUAAAUGGAAUCAUAUAGCAUAUAGACAAAUAUGUUUCAUUUCUUUCAUUUGGCAUGAUGUUUUUAGAAUUUGUCCAUCACGUUGUGGGGUAGUAGUUUAAUACUAAGUAGUAUUCUAUGGUAUGAAUAUACUAUUCAUUCACACAUUCACCAUUUAAUGAGUAUUUCAGUUGUUUCCAAGUUGUAGCUUUAAUGAAUAAAGCUGCAGUGAGCACAUAAGUACAUACAAGUAUUUGUGUGGACAAACAUUUUUGCUUGAAAUAUAUGCUUAACUACAUGAAAUGACAAAUAGAUUUUCAGAUGAGAUGUAUUGUUUUUCAUUAUCACCAGCAAUAUAGGAGAAUUCCAGUUGCUCCACAUUCUUGUUAUCAUCUAAUAUUGCCCAUCUUUUUAAUUUUAACUAUUCUAAUAAGUGUGCAAUGAUGUCCCUUUGUAAUUUCAAUUGGGAUUUUCCUGAUAUUCAAUGGUAUUGGGUAUCUUUUAAUGUAUUUAAUAGCUCUUCAUUUUUCUUCUUUGACAAAGUGUCAAUUGGGAGAUUUUAGCUAUUGGGUAAAAAUAUUCUUAUGGUUGAGGUUUUGAAUUCAUUACAUAUCUAGAUACAGGCACUUUAGCAGACAAUGAUUGGCAAAUGAUCCCUCUUGUCUGUGACAUCUCUUUUCAUUUUCAUAUUUGUGUCUUUGAAAGAACAAUUUAUAAAUUUUUGAUAAGGGUUAUUUUAUUAAUUUUUUCUUUCAUGAUUCAUGUCCUAUUUAAAAUAACAUCUGUAACUAACUGUCACAAAUAUUUUUUUCAUGUUUUCUUUCAGAAGCUUUCUAGGUUCUUAUGUUGGGUCUAUGAUCUAUUCAGAGUCAAUUUCUGUACAUGGUGUGAAAUAUUUCACAGUUGGACCACUGUCAGGCUUUAUUAUUAUAGUUAUUUCAUCACCAGUUGUUAAGAAACAUAAAACCACAUGUCCAUCAACAACUGGAGAAGAACUCUAAUAUAACUGUACAAUUGUAUGCUAUUCAACAAAAAAUGGAAAUAAACCAUUGGUACAUGCAGCAACAUAGGUGAAAUUCAAAAUCAUUAUCUGAACUGAAAGAAUUCAAAUGCCAUAUAUUACAUGCUUUACAACUGUAAUUAUUUCAGCGUUUAGGAAAUUCUAAACUAAGUGGAAGAAAUCAAAUCUGGGGGUAAGAGGAAGCAAAUACUGAAGACAGUCAUAGGAAAGCAUUCUGGUGAGUGAUGGCAUGACUCUGUAUCCUGAAUGUGGCAGUAGUUUGCAGAACAUACCUUUGUCAAACACAUUGAAUUCUACUUAGAUUGUGGAUUCAGUUUAUUAAACAUAAAUUAUUUCUCAACAAAAUGUGUUUUAAAAUGAAGCAACUGAGCAUUGUGCCAAGAUUUGUGAACAUCAACUCUUCUCUCAGGUGCAUGUCUUUAGAAGAUUAUUUCACAGGUAGCCAAGUGGAUUGACAGGGAGGCCAUGGGAAAAUCCAUAGAGUGCAAAUAUUGACUCUGGAUAAAACAGUCUAAGCUCAGUUUUCAAGCAAAAUGUAAACAGUGAAAGGAGAUGUCUGAAAACUAUUUAGCAUAAAAUCAAGAAGAAAAUUUCACAAAAUGGCCUGCCAUUCACCAUAAGAGGGGAUCUUGAUUUGCCAUUAAGAAAUAGGAACAUAAAGGAAAAACAUAGAACACAGGACAAAAUUACAAAAUAAAAGAUAAGAAUAUAUGGAUAAGAAAUAGAAUUAUUAUAAGUGAAAUAAAAUGGGAGAGCAUAAUUAAAAUCCAAUAAGGAGUAAAUUUUAAAAUAUCAGACAUUGAAAACAACUUUGAGAAAUUCUGUGACAAUGGAGAGAAAAAAAAGAUGGAAAAUAUAAAAGGAGAAAGGAGUAAAUAUAGAGACCUAAUCUAAGAGAAACAUACUUUUUUAAUGAAAGAAUGCUUAAUAAUGGGACUGUGACAAAGAUUUUUUUUUUGCUUUCAAACUUUUAUUUAAUGAAUAUAAAUUUCCAAAGUACAGCUUAUGGAUUACAAUGGCUUCCCGCCCCCCCAUAACGUCCCUCCCACC